CCAUUUUGAAAACUGAACUGUGGGAGAGAGUGAGAAAUUAGCAAAAUGCAUGAUCAUGUCAGUUCAGAGAAGAAUGUCUAAGAAUUGUGCUAAGAAGAUAAAGAAACAAUCCCUUGAUUGCACAAAAGCCCUAGAUCACAUUCCUUUGGACUAGGGCAUCAGGGAUAUUACUUCUCUGUGCUCACCUGGAGGAUCCUGCCUAGGAGUUUCCCUCCAAAUCAAGAACAAGAAGAUUUUGGUGCAUAUUGCUCUUUCAGUUAAACUUUGUCUCUGUUGACAGACUCCUAACAAGUCACAGCUCAUGAGUUAGGGUCACCACUGAUUGUUCUUGCACAAGGUUGUGCAAACCUGCAGGUGUUCCUUCAUAUCAUGGGCACAACACAGAGGAAUGCUGAAACAGUGGGAUAACUUUUAUUUCCCUUGUGUAGCUUUCUACGCAGUUUUUAUGCUCACUAAGAACUAAAAUGCACCUUAAAUGACAAUUCCUGCAGCUACUGCCAGUGUGACAUACUGAUGGAAUGAAGAAUGACUGAUGGACAAUUUGGUGAAAGCAGGACUGAUCAUUGAUCAAUCAAUCAAUUGAUUUGCCCAAUAGCAGGACAAAAGGGCACACGCUAAUUAUUAACACUAGAGGUGACUGUACUAGAAAAAAUGCUUUGUAUACAUAAAAUGUACAUGAAACUCCUAAUUCUGCUAACAGACACAUUAUGCUCCACAAUAAUGAAAAUAAAAAUUACUUUUACUCGAUGGAGUAAAAAAAUUAAGCAUGGAAUAAAAUCUAAAAGAAACCAAAACACUAAGCAAAAAUAAAUAAAGUUUGUUACCUUGCCAUGAAAUUUA